rnacentral:rRNA from 1 species
AACGAACGCUGGCGGCAGGCCUAACACAUGCAAGUCGAACGCUCCAGCAAUGGAGAGUGGCAGACGGGUGAGUAACGCGUGGGAAUCUUCCCAGUGGUACGGAAUAGCUCAGGGAAACUUGAGGUAAUACCGUAUACGCCCGAAAGGGGAAAGAUUUAUCGCCAUUGGAUGAGCCCGCGUCGGAUUAGCUAGUUGGUGGGGUAACGGCCCACCAAGGCGACGAUCCGUAGCUGGUCUGAGAGGAUGAUCAGCCACACUGGGACUGAGACACGGCCCAGACUCCUACGGGAGGCAGCAGUGGGGAAUAUUGGACAAUGGGCGCAAGCCUGAUCCAGCCAUGCCGCGUGAGUGACGAAGGCCUUAGGGUUGUAAAGCUCUUUUGGCGGGGACGAUAAUGACGGUACCCGCAGAAUAAGCCCCGGCUAACUUCGUGCCAGCCGCCGCCGUAAGAC